rnacentral:tRNA from 1 species
GGAGUUGUGGCUCAGUGGUAGAGUGCUUGCCUAGCAUGCAUGAGGCACCAGGUUCGAUCCUCUACACCA